GUGAGGAAUAUUGGUCAAUGGAGGCAACUCUGAACCAGCCAUGCCGCGUGCAGGAAGACGGUCCUAUGGAUUGUAAACUGCUUUUAUUUAGGAAUAAACCCCCGGUCGUGCACCGGGGCUGAAUGUACUAAAAGAAUAAGCACCGGCUAACUCCGUGCCAGCAGCCGCGGUAAUACGGAGGGUGCAAGCGUUAUCCGGAAUCAUUGGGUUUAAAGGGUCCGCAGGCGGGUAAAUAAGUCAGAGGUGAAAUCCGGCAGCUCAACUGUCGCACUGCCUUUGAUACUGUUUAUCUUGAAUUUUAGUGGAGUGGGCGGAAUAUGUCAUGUAGCGGUGAAAUGCUUAGAUAUGACGUGGAACACCGAUAGCGAAGGCAGCUCACUAACUAUGAAUUGACGCUCAUGGACGAAAGCGUGGGUAGCAAACAGGAUUAGAUACCCGUGUAGUCC
rnacentral:rRNA from 1 species